CGUUUGUUAGGGAGAGGUUUCAAAUUGGUAGGACGAUACAGAGAAGAUAAGCGUGGCUUCUAUGCAAGGAUGACACGCUCGAAUUGAGAAACGGUCCAAUUUUUU